UUCAAAUAUACUUAAUAGCUCACUCCAAACCGCCGCAACAACCAGCCCAAUUCACCGACCCGGCCAACAACCUUAUUUCUCCUUCCCCUCAACAGCGUUAACAGCAAACAACAAAAUCAACCAAACAAGUUCAGCAACACCUUCGUUACAAUCCCGGCAAAGCAGCGACGUUAAUAACAGCUCCAACCAAAAACCGUACAACCAGCAACAAUUUCAAUACAAAACCCGAUCAACCCGCACCCGACCAGACGGAAACACAACUUCCACAAACGACAACGACAACAGCUGCAACAACAGCGACCCCUCACCAAGAACCAAACGAGAAGUCAACAACAAUAGCUAUUAAUCCUAAUUUUUCUCAAAAUCGAUUUCGUAUGAAUGCGGACGGUUACGAUUACUUUGAGUUUGAAUUUCAAAUUUUUUAUCAUCGAUUUCUUAUUUGUUUCCCCCCAAAUUAGUCCCGAAUCACCUAUAAAUACCCACAUAUGUAGAGUGAAUAAGGAGGAGGAUUUUUUGGGGAAAAAUUGAGGAUUUUGGAGAAUAAUCCCACGUAACCGAAGAAUUCGAAACGAUAACUCCAACGAACUUGUUUGAACUCGGUUGAGUUGAAUUAGAUUUUGCUGGAGGAAGCUUCAUCGUUAUAAGCUCGUCCGUCCUUGUUUCUACCCGGAGAAAGGUUACCUAUUACUUUACUCAAUUCUAGACCAUACAAUUGCUCUCCACAUAGUUCUAGUUGAUCUUGACAUAAAUGAGACGUAGAUCAUUCAUUGUCUUCAUCUGAAAAUUCUACAUUUAAAGAGGCAUGUGUGAGAUAUAACCACUGCACACAUUUGCGUGAGACGUGGGCUACUCAAAUUCCAAUGAAUUUCCUAUGAUUUCUGAGACUUGGAAAGAAUCAGUAUCAUCUCUUUGUGGAAGUUAACAAAAGGGAACCUUGUUUCUUUUAAAAUUUGUCUUUCGCCCAGGUUCGGUUCAAAGUUGUUUUCAUGGGUUCAUCACUGCCUCUUCUAAAUUCCUUAGACUUAAGCAUAUGAAUUUAAGAUAAAAAUGAUAGUUACCAACAAACAUGUGUUUUUCCUAAACCGAGAUCAAUUCUUGUUUCAACACAAUUCGGUCCAAUGAUUUGAUUACAUACGAUAAUUUGCUUCUAAUCUAGUAAGUUCUAAUCCUUAUCCUUUCUUUAUUUUGCAUGAACCCUCCUGAACGAGGCCGAUCGGACUCCCCAUUUCUUCGCAUUCGAUGUCCGUUGAGUCAAGCCUCAUGGAAUCCAAAUUCGGACUGAUAUACACAGGAUAGCACACGUAUACAGGCUGCUAUACGCUGAUAUACAGUGUGUAUACACUGGAAGUCGUAGCUGCAUACCAUCUACAGUGUAGAAUGAAAUAUGGAGAGAGAAUAUGCUGAUUUCUACAUUGGUAUACAGUAUAUACAUGGAAAUAUACACAAAAACACAAGGGUGAAGGGCUGUGAUUAGGGGUGUACAUAGGUCGGGUUAGUUCAGUUUUUAUUACAAAAAAAAUCAAAUCAAUCAUGUCGGUUUAUUAAAACUAUAAAUUAAAUCAAACCAACAUAAAAUUGAUUUUUUCGA